UACCGACGGUUCAGUUGUGAACUGUCCGCGGCUCAGUACGGAUGUGUUUUAGCGCAAAUAAGUGAUCCCCGGGGGUGCGUGAGUUUGUUGGUUCGAUUUCAAGGUACAGUGACAAACGGAAAACGGACGCUGCCAGUUUGAAGGCGUGAAGGACCAGGCUUCUCCAUCGAUGCACGCUGGGAGCGAUUUAUGAAAAGCCUCUGAGAACCGGUGGAAUAUUGUGGCUCUUCUGUGUGCUGUGUGUGUUAUGUGAAAGUUGUUCUGGUGAUUCGAUUCAAACGCCACUUGACCAGCAACGCUUCUAUGCUAUCCGUCAAAGUGAUUAAUGUUAGCGAGUGGAAAAGCCCGCAAUACAAGCACCUAAGGUGAAUUCGAUACGUGCACGUGUGAGUUUAGUUGUUUAGUGUUAAAUUGUGCGGAAUGCAGCUUUGCGGCUUGCUACAAGUCGAUCACACUUAAUGUUAAAAAAGUUAUAAAAGUGAAGACACAAUAAGCGCUCAUUAAGUGCGUAUAAAAAUCAUGUAGCGUGCGAAAAUGUGUGUUAUUAAUUUUCUUCUCCUACUCCGUACUGCCUAUACAGCGGAUAGAACCGUCAUAUGGUAUGCGGUAGAGCAUACCGAGCCGUUCCCUAGUGGUGCUAUAAUUUGAAAAGUUUUAUCAUCCACCGACCGCAGUUCGCAUCCAACGCCGCCAGGGCGUUUCACGACUAGUUGUUUUUGUUUUCUUUGGCCUGCAAAGGAGGACAAAUACCGAAAAUUCUACCACAGCGUGGGACCACAUGUGUCCACUAAAACAGGGGCUCAGUGUAACCAUCAGCUAGCCACGAGGUGUAAAAGAAAUAUUAAACCGAGGGCAGAAAAACAAACGCGUAACAAUUUGCUGGUGAAAUUUAUAUUUUGUGCAGUGAACACCAGAACACAACGCGCUCAUGCUUGCAAUGAUACGACACUUCCGGCCCGCACCAUGUACGGCACGACACGGUACAGUACCAUCCAACGGAGGCGUGUCCUGGUGAUGCUGCGCGACUGGAACGGCUCGCUGAACGAUGCCCCGUGUGUGAGACCAAUAGCUUUCGGCCAACGGUUCCCCAGCAGGACGCAUGAAAGCGAUUCCAAUUUCCAACCAUUGAUAUGAUAAUACGUAUUAUCCUUCUUUUCGGUCGGGAUUAUCUACGACGCACCUGGUUGACUGGCAGCUUGAAGCACGAAUAAAGCGUGACCGGGCCAAAACGUAGAAAAAAAAAAACAAAAAUAUUGCAAUAAAUCAUACCCAACGAAAAUUAAAAAAAAGAGUCCAAACCAUCCCUCGACAAAACCAAGCAAACAGCAGAAGCAACGCACAAGAAAAAAAGGCACAACCGUCAUCCACCAUGGAAUCCGUACUGACCCGCUUCAAUCUCACGCUCGACAAUAUGACAACGUUAAGCUCCAACAUACGCCAGGGGCUUAUCGAGCAGUACAGCAACAAUCGGAAGGUGGCCGAUCCCUGGUACCAUAUCCUGAUCAUCAUGUACGGUACGCUGAUCGUGUUCGGCGCUACAGGGAACAGUCUGGUGGUGUUGGCCGUCGCCCGCAAGCCACAGAUGCGAACCGCUCGCAACAUGUUCAUCGUGAAUUUGGCCGUUUCCGAUCUACUACUGUGCCUAGUGACGAUGCCACUGACGCUGGUGGAAAUUCUCACCAAAUACUGGCCGAUGGGUCGGUUACCAUUUUUAUGCAAAUCGAUCGGCACACUACAAGCUACCAGCAUAUUCGUGUCAACCAUAUCCAUCACUGCGAUCGCAUUAGAUAGGUAUCAAGUUAUAGUUUAUCCGACUCGCGACAGUCUACAGCUGAUGGGUGCCAUCGCUAUCCUGACCGGUAUCUGGAUCAUCUCGAUAGUGCUAGCUUCGCCGAUGUUUAUCAUCCGGCAACUAAUCCACUACGACGUCAAUCUGCCCAGCCUCGGGAUCGAGUACGUGUCGUACUGCAUCGAGGACUGGCCGAUUGCAUACGGCCGUGUGUACUAUUCGGCGUUCACUCUCUGCGUGCAGUACGUGCUACCCAUUCUGAUCGUGUCGAUGGCAUACCUGCGCAUCUAUCUAAAGCUAAAGCACCGGCUAGUGGUCGGCACGGCCAGCGGGAAGCCCGGCGAAGCGAAACCCGUGCGGGAGCGGGAACGUGGCCGGCGGAUGCAACGCACCAACUAUCUGCUGAUCAGCAUUGCGCUAAUCUUUGGCGUUUCCUGGCUACCACUCAAUCUGUUCAAUCUGUUCGCCGACCUGUACGUGCACUCGAUCACGCAGGACAUUAUGGUGGCGUACGCAAUCUGUCACAUGGCUGGCAUGAGCUCGGCCUGCUCCAAUCCACUGCUGUACGGCUGGUUGAAUGACAAUUUUCGGAAAGAGUUCAACGAACUGCUCUGCCGGACGUCGGCGGGCGGCCCGGGCCACGGAUCGGGCGGUCACUCGAACGGAAGCCGAGCGAAUGGAGGAGCUGCCACGGUUAGACGAACGCGAGCUGCUCGAACUGCGACCGACGGUGGACCUGACGACCGGACGCUGCCGGAACUAACGCAGGUGCGCGACCGUCAUGCGGCAGCACUGCUGCACGACUCGGGCAUUACCGAGAACGGUGACCAUACUGAGCUGACCGAGCUGAUGUCCUGAUGUCCCGACUCCCGAUACUGAACGCCGCAGGACUUUCGUGGUCCGAGGUACCGUGGAGGUUUGCCUAUUCCAUUGUGAAUAUUUUACCUUUUCCUUUCCGCUUUCCUAUCUUUUGCUCUUACGCUCAUAUGUUUGCUGCUUUCGGUGUUGCAAAAUAGUUGACUCGUAAAUGUUUGCGGAUUCUUUAUCAUGUGUAGUGACGUGUUCCUCUAAAAGAUUAUUGGAAAAGACUCUUUUCCAAGAAUUAAAGCUUUCAAAUUUAAUCGUAUGGCAGACUCAUCAACUUUCGUAAAGCCGAUUGUGAAUGGUUUCUUUUCCAGCAUAUAAUAAUGAACGAUUUGCGCAUUCAGCUACGCGGUAGAAACUAGUUUCCUAGUCCUUAUAAAGCCGAAAUAGCUGAGUAUGUCGUAAGUAUGAGGCAAUCAAUUCCAGAAUCAUGCACAUGCAAUUUUGUACGAGUUAUUUAUCAAAUCGUGUACAAAACAUAUUUUGUUAUACUUUGUACAUGAAAAAGAAGGUAAAAUAUGAUUCAAAUAUCUAUUCUUUCAUUUUGUAUGCAAUAGAAUACAUUUCGGUUACUGGCGAAGCUGUGAUCAUUGCUUGACUAUGCACUUGACUAUGUUAAUGCGAUGUCACUUUUGCUGUUUCUGCUUGACAUUUAAUCGUCUUUUGAUAUCGAAGCUGUGCAUUUUCUGUUGUGAGAUAUAUCGCAGAUUGACUCGCUCGGUGUUACUCUACGGAAACGAGUCUUGGACCAUCCGAGCUAAGGAUGCAAGCGCUCUGGGCGUAGCAUGGAGUUUGGAGAAGAAGGAUGAGCCCCAAGUUUGCUGCAUCCUGUACAGCGAUCCUAGCACCCUGACGGUGGCCAAGACAUUCAGGAUACGAUGCAUGCUCCAGCCAUGAGGAUGCCGGACUCAUGCCCCACCAAGAAGGUGUUCGACAGCUGCGAACUCGAUGGCGAACAGGUGAAGCGAAAUCUAUUGGAGAUCGGGUGUCUACACGAAUUGAAGGCUGCUGCCAGGGACCGAGCAUCCUGAAAAAUAAUUGUUGACCAGGCCAUGUCACACCGAUGUGCUCUAUCGUGAGCAGGCCAUCAAGAGAGAGAUAAUUUUCUGUAGUAAAUGGGGUACAGAUAUUCCUCUGAUGCACGCGAUUAAUGCGGACUGUAGGCAAUCGUUUAUCUGGAAUAUUCGCAUAUUUCGAAUUUAUAGGUUAUCAGUGAAAUUAUAUCAAAAUGUUGUGUAAUUUUGCUUCAAGUGGUAUAUUUAAGCUACCAAAUUAGUUAGUUGGACUGAUUUCAACUAAACUACAAAUUAGUUGGUUAUUGGAUGGUUUUUGAAAUUUUACCAAAAGGGCAUUAUUUUAGAUUUGACUAUUGAUGUGUAAAGUCAGCACAUCAAAGAACUGUCAAAUUUAAACUAGAGCGAAUAACGAAAUCACGUACAUCGAGUAUAGCUUAUAUGGAGGAAGGCCUGUAUAUUACAAACUGAUUAGUUAUGUUUGGAAAGUCACAUUGAAAUUGGCUUUACUGUUAAAUACAUACAUUAAUUAAAUACAUUAAUAUAUCCAGACAGAAUAGUCCAACAAGGAAUCGAGAUCCUUUGUGUACAUCAUCAAACGAGAGUCUUUAUUAUGUUUUGAAAAGUGAUGUUUCAAGCGUAGGGUAAAAAUCUCAACCAACUGGGCUUUCAUUUUCAGACACAAAUGAUGGUUGUGUUUACGCUGCAUUUUAAAACUUUUGCGAUUGAUUCUUAAUUUUCUCAGGCAAACUAUAUUUCUUCAGAUGCCGGGAAAGUUAUGUCAUCUAGCCCCUUUCGUUUAUACAACUAACAAAAGCGUAAAUUAUUACAUUUGUAUAUUAUUGUUAAAUGGAUUGCAUCGAGAAUUUCUACCCGAGCUUAAAUACUGACAAAACCCCACCCACUCAAUAAACAAGCUUGAUGUGAUUCCUAAUGGCAUGGUACUGAUUUUAUGCCGGUUCUGAAUGACGAAAGAUGAAUUAUUUCUCCAUACCACAUGUUCAUAAUCCAUUAUGUAAAUUUGCGCCACAGCACUAUUAUGCAAAGUUUCAGCAAAAAUGCAUGUCAUUCUUUGGGAUGAAAUAUGAACGUUUCCGCUCCAAUGCUCAUUUUUGGCAAAUGUAUGGUGCUGCUACAUCCUAAGAUGCUUAGAGAGCAGCUGUGCCGUAAAUUGUAAAUUGACAUAGAAUCGGUUACGAGUGUAGUUGUGCAGCUGGGGUAUAUUGUUUGCGGUUGUGCUGCAUUUCGUGUCGCCAUGGUGCAAUGUACGUUACGUUUCAAUUUAAUUGUAACCUUCGGUGAAAGCGGAAACUAUUCAUGUUAUGCAGUUCCUAAACAGUUUUCUUUAGUUUGGUAUUUACUCUGACUAAAUCGACAACGUUGAGUAUAUUGUAGAUUCAAAUUCGUUGAAUACACAGUUUGAAAUCGUUGUGCUAACACGAUACCUCAAAAACAAAAUUAAAAUAACACAAGCACUAAAAGCGCUACAGAUGUGAUUAAUGAUGCAGAUGCAAUGUGUUGGGCAAGCGUACGUAUUUUAGCUAUCACUUUUUGCUUACACCACUUCUAUAAGCAUUGAGAGCUGUUUGAGUAGGUUUACUGUAACUAAAAUAGCCAAAUUAUUCUCACCUGAAUUUAUUAAUAGCUCGUGUAAAAGCCGCCCGUUCAGUCAACCAGAAUGGAAUACUUCUCACCUAAACGUUUCACUUCGUUUUUUAUUUUCCUCCUAGCCGCAACAGCAUCCCCCGAACCAUUGGGUCAAUCAAACGGAAGCACUAACAGACAACGAGGAGGAACGUCAGAAGCUAUGCGGAACGAACGAAUAUCAGGAUCACAAGCAGUAGGAAAGCUGCUCAAGCGUUAAUGAACGCUGAAACGAAAACUGAAACGCCUAACAUUAUGCAACCCUCGUGCCUGGCUCGCUGGCCGGGAUUGCCAGCCAAUCAACGCUCCAUUCAACGGUAUACCGACUGCUGAGCUACCCUAGCCCAAGUGGAGCUGAGUUUACACGGGCCGUGGCCGCAUCUGUCCAACCAUGGUUUCCUUGGAGUACAACUUGAGCCCUAAAGAUGAGUUUCGAUGCUAAUCAAUCGAGCCUUUCCUUCCUUCCGGAACGCCGACACGUCGCGGCACACCUUUUCGAGAUUGAUCCCAGCGAAACGCAUCGCUUCAAGCUGAUACCAUGGCAGCGUUACCGGGCGGGUAAAUUUGGCUUCCACUUGCAGCAAGGCGCACACAGGUCUGGUGCAGCAGAUCGUGUUAUUAAGUUAGAUGGAAAUACUUUCGUUCGGCCUGCGCACAUGAGCACUUCUGUUCGGGUUUACAUCCCUCCCCGGUACUCAUCGGUGCUAAUAGACAUUUCGUGAGAGAUGCGACUAUGCCUGUACAUAUAGCGAUAGUAAGUCGAACGUGAUAUCGAUAGUAAAUACGAGUGACAAUUCCACGCUCCAGUGUCGUUGCGUUGUGAAUGCGAAACACCUGUUCAGCAAAAUCGGGCUGCAGUUCGUUAAGGCUUGUUGGCCAAGCGACGAGUAACGUUGUUUGGUCAACCGUUUUUUGUACAGUGUGAAUAUAUGUCAGAGACGGAACUGUAGUGCGUGUUUCUCCAUUCAUCUAGCUAAUACGGAUGGUAGGCGGGCUGUUGAAUGCAUCGUUUGAAGUAUUUUGUACAAGAGCCAACAUGUAUUUUACACUCUGUUCAUCGGUUGCCAACUGAAGAAAGAUUCAAAUAUAGAUAUGUAACGGUUUCA